AGAUACCCCACUAUGCCUAGCCAUAAACAUAGAUAAUCACGUACUUUUUUAUCCGCCUGGGUACUACGAGCAUCAGCUUAAAACCCAAAGGACUUGGCGGUGCUUUAGAUCCACCUAGAGGAGCCUGUUCUAGAACCGAUAAUCCCCGUUAAACCUCACCUUUCCUUGCCUAGUCCGCCUAUAUACCGCCGUCGUCAGCUUACUCUGUGAAGAGUUUGUAGUAAGCACAAUCGGCACAGCCCAAAAYGUCAGGUCGAGGUGUAGCGUAUGGAAAGGGAAGAAAUGGGCUACAUUCAAUAACAAUAGUGAACACGAAUAGUAUCUUGAAAGGAAUAAUUGAAGGAGGAUUUAGUAGUAAACAGGGAAUAGAGCGCCCUGCUGAAACCGGCCCUGAAGCGCGCACACACCGCCCGUCAC
rnacentral:rRNA from 1 species